rnacentral:rRNA from 1 species
CGGCGGACGGGUGAGUAACGCGUGGGUAACCUGCCUCAUACAGGGGGAUAACAGUUAGAAAUGGCUGCUAAUACCGCAUAAGACCACAGCACCGCAUGGUGCAGGGGUAAAAACUCCGGUGGUAUGAGAUGGACCCGCGUCUGAUUAGCUGGUUGGUGGGGUAACGGCCUACCAAGGCGACGAUCAGUAGCCGACCUGAGAGGGUGACCGGCCACAUUGGGACUGAGACACGGCCCAA